AUUGAGGAUUGAAAAUGAAGUCGAUUCUAAUAUGACGAAUACUAUAGAAUAUACGUUUAUCACGCCUAGUGCUAUUGAAAAGGGACAAGGACGAGGGCUUAAAUCUUUGGAUGAGAAAUGAAAUUACCAUCUAAGAGUAUAUUUUCUCAAUCAAGUGAUCUAUUUAAGAAGCACAUCAAAGAAACUGAAACAAGUUCUAAAGGGAAGGAACAUGAACAAGGACUUAAAAUCUCUACCGUGUCCACUAGUCAAGGAAUACGAAGGACGCAUAAGAACUUCAUGACUUUUGAGAAAGAGAACGUUCAAAUUAGUACUUCAUCUCCUACAUCUACUAAUCAAGUAAAGAAAUACACCCAAGAAGUUUAAACAAGCUCAACUCUAAGAUAUGGUUCAAGAAGAUCAUCUCUACCUACGGUAGAGCUUGUUGAAAAUUUUUGUGGACCUCAAACUCGUAGCCAUGUAUUUGGAUUUGGGGGUGGAGUAAACGCAAAAGAUUUGAAAGGUGGAACUUCAUCAAAGUCUGAAUUGUUGUAUGUACUACGUUCAACUCGAAAGGAUAUAAAAUCCUUGAACGGAGAAAACAAUUCCUUAAAUGAUCGCUUGUCUACACAUAGAAGAUGAGAUUAAAGAAAUAAUGAAAAUGAAAGAAUUCUUCACUGCUCAACAAUCAUAUGUCCCACCUACAACAUCGUCCUCCUUAACUGAAUGACCACCGUCUUUUCAAUUGACCAGGUUAGUAACAAUAUAUCUGACUUUUUAAUUUAUUUUGUUGAAACAUAACAACGUAAUGAAUGUAUAAUUAAAUAACAAAAUAUGGGUCUUUCGAUGUG